rnacentral:lncRNA from 1 species
AAAGUAAAGAGUGUUUUAUGGACCUAAUCUGUUUUUAGAAACUUUUUAUUUAAAAUAAAUAAAUAAAGCCUAAGGCUAUGUUUGGUUCCCGGAAAAUUUGAGGGAAAAUACGAGGGAAAGAAAAUACAAAAGAAAAGUAGAAGGAAAGAAAAAGUGAAGGAAAAUAAAAAAAUAGAUUAAAAUUUGAUAAAUUAUUUUUUUUGUUACUUCAAACUCAUUUUAUUUAUUUUAACUCAUCAAUAUAAAGAUUAAAUAAUUUAAAAAUACAUAAGUUUUUAAUUAGUUUUAAUUAUAUUUGAUUUUCUUUGAUAUUUUUCAUAGGACAACCAAACAUGAGAAAAUCAUUUUUCUUAGCAUUUUUUUUCUUUCCUUUGUACUUUCCGGGAACCAAACAUAGCCUAAAUUUCCAAUUUAGUGAUCGGGUUUAGUGCUUGAGGGAACAUAAGGCCGAGGAAGUGUGGGCCAUAGAAUUGGGCCUUCUUUCUAUAUUCUUAUUUUGGCAUUUCUUUACCCUACUUGAAUCCCAUCCCACAUCGAGCAGUCACGAAAGAAAUGAGAUGUUCAAAUUACAAGCUUCCUCGUGAUCAAGAAGUGGCAUCAAAGUUCCGGGGAAAUAGGGGGGGGGAACUCCAGGGGCCCAGGGGGAGGGGGGGGGGGAACGCCAGGGGA